GCAAAGGGCAUGAACUUCCCAAGGCUCCACCUCAGUGGGGAGGCUGGUUGGAGUUUCUCCAGGGACCGCCUCCCACCUGGCUGUCUCAAUUGUUUUUAGGUACAAAUAGCAAGUUGAUGCAAAGAAAAAUAUAUAAAGUAAAUCAUGGAGAUUAUAUGUGAUUUGGCAAAGGUCAUGAAGGAUACCAUCGCUGAAACUAAACUUUGGAAUAAAUUAGUCUUAUCAAAUUACAAAGACCAGAGCCCUGCCAACCUCUGCAGAAUGCGGUCAUACUGCUCCCCCAUGGAAUGAAGUAUAGAACAAAUCUACCAAUCCUGAGAGAUUGCUGUGACUUUGAAUUCUGUGGAAUCUACACAUCAAUUUGAGGACAGCAGACAGCUUAACAAUGUUGUGUCUUCCAAAGAACAUAGUAUCUAUCUUCAUUUAUUCUGAUCCUCUUUAAUUGCUUUCAGCAGUAUUUGUCAUGGGUGAGGGUGAGAUGCUGUUCUGUGCUAUGUAGAAUGUUUAGCAGCAUAUUUGACCACUAGAUGCCCGUAGCACCUCCCCACCAAGUUGCCACAAUCAAAGUGACUCCAGGCAUUACAAAACAUCUUCUGUGGGGCAAAAUUACCCUUGAUUAAGAACCCCUGAACUAGAGAAAUAGAGAAAGUGUGGUAUUAACAAAACGAUAGCCAUAUUAAUCAGUGGCAAUGAAAAUUAUCAACUCUGUAUGCAAUAGCAAACAAAACAAGAACAAUAACUAAAACAA
rnacentral:lncRNA from 1 species